UACGUAGGGGGCAAGCGUUAUCCGGAUUUACUGGGUGUAAAGGGGGCGCAGACGGCGAUGCAAGCCAGGAGUGAAAGCCCGGGGCCCAACCCCGGGACUGCUCUUGGAACUGCGUGGCUGGAGUGCAGGAGGGGCAGGCGGAAUUCCUGGUGUAGCGGUGAAAUGCGUAGAUAUUAGGAGGAACACCAGUGGCGAAGGCGGCCUGCUGGGCUUUAACUGACGCUGAGGCUCGAAAGCGUGGGGAGCAAACAGG
rnacentral:rRNA from 1 species